rnacentral:rRNA from 1 species
UGAGGAAUAUUGGUCAAUGGACGCAAGUCUGAACCAGCCAAGUAGCGUGCAGGAUGACGGCCCUAUGGGUUGUAAACUGCUUUUAUAUGGGGAUAAAGUGGGGAACGUGUUCCCUUUUGCAGGUACCAUAUGAAUAAGGACCGGCUAAUUCCGUGCCAGCAGCCGCGGUAAUACGGAAGGUUCGGGCGUUAUCCGGAUUUAUUGGGUUUAAAGGGAGCGUAGGCCGUUUGGUAAGCGUGUUGUGAAAUGUAGGAGCUCAACUUCUAGAUUGCAGCGCGAACUGUCAGACUUGAGUGCGCACAACGUAGGCGGAAUUCAUGGUGUAGCGGUGAAAUGCUUAGAUAUCAUGACGAACUCCGAUUGCGCAGGCAGCUUACUGUAGCAUAACUGACGCUGAUGCUCGAAAGUGCGGGUAUCAAACAGG